GCUGUCGCUGGCUCAAACGAAGCAUGUGCACGUCUUUUUGCUGCUUGCUUUCAUUCUCUUUUCCACCUGUGCACUCUUUGUAGACACUCGGGGAUGGGGAGAGAGGUCAAAAACCUCUCUCUUGAUAUUGAAAAAUAUAGUCCCUGGGUGUUUAUGUAUUUUUCAUACACAACUUUGAAUGUCUAUAGAAUGAAAUUAUAGGCUUUUAUCAGCCUUUAAAUGAUGAAAUACAACUUUCAACAACGGAUCUCUUGGCUCUCGCAUCGAUGAAGAACGCAGCGAAAUGCGAUAAGUAAUGUGAAUUGCAGAAUUCAGUGAAUCAUCGAAUCUUUGAACGCAUCUUGCGCUCCUUGGUAUUCCGAGGAGCAUGCCUGUUUGAGUGUCAUUAAAUAUCUCAAAAAAGCCCUUUUGCUUUGCAUAGGGUUUUUUUGGACAUUGGGAGUUGCUGGCUACUGUUAAAGUGGUUGGCUCUUCUGAAAUGUAUUAGUUGAGGAGCUUUGCACUCUAUUGGUGUGAUAGACUAUCUAUGCCAUGAGCUGCUUUUUAAUGAUCCUCUGCCUUCUAACUGUCUUUAUCAGACAAUAUGAUAAACUUGACCUCAAAUCAGGUAGGACUACCCGCUGAACUUAAGCAUAUCAAUAAGCG
rnacentral:rRNA from 1 species